rnacentral:rRNA from 1 species
CAGGACGAACGCUGGCGGCGUGCUUAACACAUGCAAGUCGAGCGGAAAGGCCCUUCGGGGUACUCGAGCGGCGAACGGGUGAGUAACACGUGAGUAAUCUGCCCAUCGCUUCAGGAUAGGCCAUCGGAAACGGUGAUUAAUACUGGAUAUGACAUUCCUUCGGCAUGUUGGGGUGUGGAAAGUUUUUUCGGCGGUUGGAUGUGCUCGCGGCCUAUCAGCUUGUUGGUGGGGUAAUGGCCUACCAAGGCUUUGA